rnacentral:rRNA from 1 species
GAUUGCCCUAGUAACGGCGAGUGAAGCGGCAACAGCUCAGAUUUGAAAUCCGGCCCCUGGGUCCGAGUUGUAAUCUGCAGAGGAUGCUUCUGGCACGGUUCCUUCCGAGUUCCCUGGAACGGGACGCCAUAGAGGGUGAGAGCCCCGUACGGUCGGCUGCCACGCCUUUGUGAAGCUCUCUCGACGAGUCGAGUAGUUUGGGAAUGCUGCUCUAAGCGGGAGGUAAAUUUCUUCUAAAGCUAAAUAUCGGCCAGAGACCGAUAGCGCACAAGUAGAGUGAUCGAAAGAUGAAAAGAACUUUGAAAAGAGGGCGAAACAGUACGUGAAAUUGUUGAAAGGGAAGCGCUCAUGACCAGACCUGCGCCUGGCGGAUCAUCCAGCUUCGGCUGGUGCACUUCGCCGGCUCAGGCCAGCACCGGUCGUGUCCGGGAGGGUGAUGCCGGGCGGAAUGUGGCUCGCUCGCGAGUGUUAUAGCCCCCGUGCGGUCCCCUGGACGCGACCGAGGAACGCGCUCUGCAAGGGGUGCUGGCGUAAUGGUCAUCAGCGGCCCGUCUUGAAACACGGACCAAGGAGUCGUCUUCGAGAGCGAGUGUUCGGGUGUCAAACCCUUACGCGUAAUGAAGGUGAACGUAGGUGGGAGCCUCGGCGCACCACCGACCGAUCCUGAUGUCUUCGGAUGGAUUUGAGUACGAGCUCGUGGGGACGGACCCGAAAGAAGGUGAACUAUGCGUGUGUAGGGUGAAGCCAGAGGAAACUCUGGUGGAGGCUCGCAGCGGUUCUGACGUGCAAAUCGAUCGUCAAACAUGCGCAUGGGGGCGAAAGACUAAUCGAACCUUCUAGUAGCUGGUUUCUACCGAAGUUUCCCUCAGGAUAGCAGUGUCGAUCUCAGUUUUAUGAGGUAAAGCGAAUGAUUAGGGACUCGGGGGCGCUAUUUAGCCUUCAUCCAUUCUCAAACUUUAAAUAUGUAAGAAGCUCUUGUUACUUGAGUGAACGUGAGCAUUCGAAUGCAGCGACACUAGUGGGCCAUUUUUGGUAAGCAGAACUGGCGAUGCGGGAUGAACCGAACGCGGGUUUAAGGUGCCAGAGUGUACGCUCAUCAGACACCACAAAAGGUGUUGGUACAUCUUGACAGCAGGACGGUGGCCAUGGAAGUCGGAAUCCGCUAAGGACUGUGUAACAACUCACCUGCCGAAUGUACCAGCCCUGAAAAUGGAUGGCGCUCAAGCGUACCACCCAUAACCCGCCCUCAGCGUAGAAACGAUGCGCUGAGGAGUAGGUAGACGUGACCGUGGUGACGAAGCCUAGGGC